GCUCAAAUACUCACACUCACUCGCUCCCGGCUUAUUGACAACCCCGAUCCCGACUGUGAAGCCCAGAAACAGAAGGUGCGCGGUCGUGCCGGUGGCUUUGCUCAGGAUGCGAUACAGCCAAAUCACUUCCA